rnacentral:misc_RNA from 1 species
GGGGAGGGGGGGUGGGGGUUUUGGAUGGGUCAGUGGAAUGAAUACCAUCAGAAAAGAACUACCAUCAACAUGAAUACAAGAUUACAUACAAAUAGUGAUCUGACCCAUGUAAUUAUCUUAUGACUUAGAUUCUUCUAUAUGAAAACACUAUAACAAGGAUACAUUGUAGAACUAUUGUAACAAGGAAGCGGAUUUUUUCUUUUUCCAUCAACCCAAUUUUGACCUAUGAAGGGCCUGUGCACCCUUCUUCAAGCAGUUGAAGUUUUGACUGAUGAUAAUGAUCACAUCUGGCACAUUGGAUGAUGAAAAUACCCUUUCAUCAAGGGCAUUGUGUAGUCAAAUGUAGAAGUAGGGCAACAGUAAGCAAAUCAAGCAUUUCAAGGAGCACUGCAGAUAUUCAAUUCUAUAUUCGUGCACAUCAGAGUUGGCAACACCAGUAGGCAUAGUGCUCGUCUUUGCGAUGGUUACUAACAAGACCUCCACACUGCAAACAGAUGAAGUUGCUUCCAUCUGAGAAUGCAUCCAACACAAUUUGCAUCCUACCAGUGUCCGCAAGUAUAGAGUUUGCAUGAACAUCUAACGAUGGGCCACCUACAUUAAGUGGUAAUGGUUCAACUUCAGAAGGCUGCACUUCAGCAAUUGCACACUCAGCAAACACAGCAGCAAGUUGAUCAAUGGCGGUGUUCUCUUGCAGCCUGUUUCUAUACAGUUCACGAGCACGGUUCAGGGACUGAAACACAGCCUCAUCUCCACCUUUGGUACGUAUUGCCACAACAACCUGUUCCAAUCUUCCAAUCAUUACAUUUAAAAUAUGUUCAGAGACCUUUGAACUUUGUGUACUAUGCACUUUCAUUACAAAUAUUCUCACGAAAACAUCAGUGAAAAUACUGUAGCAUGUGACAUGAACAAACAAUCUUAUGAAAAUAUGGAGUCAGCAAAUUAUUAAGAAUACCCCAAGUGACGUAAACAUGCACUCACCAAAAAUAAUAAUAAUAACUACGCAAAAGAAAACCAUCAUCUUUCCAAUAGUCAUAAUGCUAUCAUCCUGAUGGUUUUGGAAAGAGAGAACAAAAAGGAAAAUUAUUUAAAUGCUUUCCAAGUUAUUAAUCAUUUUGCUAUCCUAUUCCUCAUUGUUCCAAAAGAAAGCUGUUCAUUUACUAUGAUUUUAAGAUAGAUAAAUAGUGCCACCCCAAAUUUCAAAGAAAUCAGAUAUGAAAAAGACCUAAAAGGGGAAACCAUAACCCCUUAUGACCAAGGGACUCACCAUUGCCCAUGGUUAUGCCACACUAAGGCCUUGCUUUUCUCCUGUUCUAAGAGAUUCCAGUAAAGGCAUUGGCAGAAUUUAUUUCGUAUUAUAAGAUGAUUGAUAAUGAAAUCGAGCCUUCUUUAAAGAAGCUUACUAGUACCGCAACAAAUAUACACAAUCCCAUAGCCUCACGCUAUUGUAGCCCUCCAAAGACUGCCAAUUUACUCUUUAAGAAAUACUUUUCAAGCUAGUUAGGAAAAAUAAACAGUCUUUUACCCUUGGUUUGGAUUCUGGGAAAUGGAGAGAAGAGACUUUAAAUUCUCUUAUUGGGCAUCAAAUAGAAGAUAGAAUUGAAGAGGAAUGAAGAGAAAUGAGGAAAAAUUUUAACCCAAAAUAUUUCUCACCAAAUAGGUGGAAACUGAGAAAAUGAUUGUUAAAAUACUUAAAGAAUGAAAAUAAAGGUAUAAUAGAGAAAUGCAUUUCUUUCCUAUUCUAAUAUACUAUCCAAACUUUCUUUUCUUUUCUCCUCAUUUUCCUAAUUUAAUUUCUCUCCAUUUCCCCUACCAAUUAAAGAUCCAAACAAAGGGUUAACGCACCUACAAACAAACACAAUUAAAUUAUCUUGUGAUAUCUAAUUUUAAUUCAGGAAAUACAAUUAGCAGGCGAAAUAAUAGUGUUGCAAAGUGAUGGUGAAAUGGGGAUUGGGGCAUUGGGCUUGUGAUCCGUCAAGACUUCCCAAAUUGAAUCAAAGAAUAUAAUUAAGCUUUCAGUGUAUUUCUCUUCCAACUUGCUUUUCAUUUCAUUUUUAAUUUGGGAAAUUCAACAAGAAGAUUAAUUUAAACAGAUAAACACCAUAUUUUCUUCAUGACCAUUUGGUCAAGAGAAAAAAAAAAUAAAUAAAUAA